rnacentral:lncRNA from 1 species
CAGGAGGCCUGGUUCUAGCCCAAGCACAGUCUCCAGCUUAAGGAAUGACCUUAAGCAAGCACUUCUUCCCUCAGGGCAACAUUUAAAAAAAUAAGAAGAUUGGAUUGAUCAACAUUUUACUGCCUGUAUUUCACAGGACAUUCUCCUUUUAAUAUAUUUGCUUGAACCUUCUUGAAAACAGGACUCCAUGGACAAAUAAGGUCUAACACCAGCAAUAUUUACACACCGAAGGCACGAGUAUGGCCAUUUGGGGGGCUGUGAUAUUGUUAUUGAGGAGUUUUCCAGAGAUAACUAGACAAGAGCUAGAAAACAAUGGAAGGAACUUUAGAAGCUCACAGGUGUGGAAAGGGAAGAUCUCAGUUUCAAUGGAGCAUUGGAUCUAUACAAGUCAAGAGGCAAAAAGUGGGCUUUGCUGAAGACUGAUGCUAAAGCUGAAUUCUGGACAAUGAGUAGCAAUGAGCCAUGUAAAGAAAAGGAAGUGAGUAGGUCCUGAGGCAAAACAGAGUUUGCCACGUUUGAGGAACUGUGAGAGAACUGUUGUUCCCAGUGGGAGAACACUAAGAAUGAAAUUGGCUCAAAAUGAGGCUGGAGAUGUAGGCUUAGAUUACAUAGGUUGGCCAGCAUAGGAAUUUUAGAUUUCAUUUUAAAAAUCAAUGGGGAAUCAUUAAAUUGCUUUAAGUUAGAGAGGAGGAAUAGCUGCAGAGCAAAUUUCCAUUUUUU